GACGAACGCUGGCGGCGUGCUUAACACAUGCAAGUCGAGCGGUAAGGCCCUUUCGGGGUACGACGAGCGGCGAACGGGUAGGAGUAACAACGUGGGUGGACCUCGCCCUCCAGCUCUGGGAGUAAGACCUCGGGAAACCGGGGUACGUAAUACCGGAUAUGACUCCAUGACGCAUGUUGUGGGGUGGAAAGCCUUGUGCGGCUGAGGAUGGGCCCGCGGCCUAUCAGCUUGUUGGUGGGGUGAUGGCCUACCAAGGCGACGACGGGUAGCCGGCCUGAGAGGGCGACCGGCCACACUGGGACUGAGACACGGCCCAGACUCCUACGGGAGGCAGCAGUGGGGAAUCUUGCGCAAUGGGACGAAAGCCUGACGCAGCGACGCCGCGUGG
rnacentral:rRNA from 1 species